rnacentral:rRNA from 1 species
ACUCCUACGGGAGGCAGCAGUGGGGAAUAUUGCACAAUGGGCGCAAGCCUGAUGCAGCAACGCCGCGUGAGCGAUGAAGGCCUUCGGGUCGUAAAGCUCUGUCUCAAGGAAGAAUAAAUGACGGUACUUGAGGAGGAAGCCCGGCUAACUACGUGCCAGCAGCCGCGGUAAUACGUAGGGGCAAGCGUUAUCCGGAAUCACGUGGGCGUAAAGGGUGCGUAGGCGGUUUUCAAGUCAGAAGUGAAAGGCUAUGGCUCAACCAUAGUAAGCUUUUGAAACUGUUAAACUUGAGUGCAGGAGAGGAAAGUGGAAUUCCUAGUGUAGAGGUGAAAUUCGUAGAUAUUAGGAGGAACACCAGUGGCGAAGGCGACUUUCUGGACUGUAACUGACGCUGAGGCACGAAAGCGUGGGAGCGAACAGGAUUAGAUACCCUGGUAGCACAGAG